rnacentral:rRNA from 1 species
CCUACGGGUGGCAGCAGUGGGGAAUAUUGCACAAUGGGGGAAACCCUGAUGCAGCGACGCCGCGUGAGUGAAGAAGUAUUUCGGUAUGUAAAGUUCUAUCAGCAGGGAAGAAAAUGACGGUACCUGACUAAGAAGCCCCGGCUAACUACGUGCCAGCAGCCGCGGUAAUACGUAGGGGGCAAGCGUUAUCCGGAUUUACUGGGUGUAAAGGGAGCGUAGGCGGUGGUGCAAGUCUGAAGUGAAAGCCCACAGCUUAACUGCGGGACUGCUUUGGAAACUGUACGACUAGAUUGCAGGAGAGGUAAGUGGAAGUCCUAGUGUAGCAGUUAAAUGCGUAGAUAUUAGGAGGAACACCAGUGGCGAAGGCGGCUUACUGGACUGUAAAUGACGUUGAGGCUCGAAAGCGUGGGGAGCAAACAGGAUUAGAUACCCUUGUAGUC